rnacentral:rRNA from 1 species
UACGUAGGCAGCGAGCGUUGUUCGGAGUUACUGGGCGUAAAGGGUGUGUAGGCGGUUCUUUAAGUUUGGUGUGAAAUCUCCCGGCUCAACCGGGAGGGUGCGCCGAAUACUGAGGGACUAGAGUGCGGGAGAGGAAAGUGGAAUUCCUGGUGUAGCGGUGAAAUGCGCAGAUAUCAGGAAGAACACCCGUGGCGAAGGCGGCUCUCUGGGACGGUACUGACGCUGAGACGCGAAAGCGUGGGGAGCGAACAGG